CUAAUUCCAUUAAUUGUUGGAAAACUUAUACCUCAGGAUGAACCUGCUUGGGAACUCAUUCUUCUCCUGAAAGACAUUGUUGAACUUGUUGUGUGUCCUGUGCACACUAGCGAGUCUGUUGCAUACUUGGAGAGCAAAAUAUCCGAACACCGCAAUCGGUUCAAAGUACUUUUUCCAGAAAGAAAGCUUUUGCCAAAACAUCACUUUCUGGAACAUUAUCCAGCGAUGAUCCAUCUAUUUGGUCCACCUGUUUCAUUCUGGACAAUGAGGUUUGAAGCCAAGCACAGUUUUUUUAAACAAGUGGCUAGGCACACUAACUGUUUCAAAAAUAUCACCAAGACUUUGGCCAGGAAACAUCAGCUCAUGGUUGGUCAAUUUAUGCAGUCAUCCCAGUGCGAUGAAUUACCUGUAGAGGUUACACGCAUUUCAACUGUCCCUGUUGAUAUUCUCCAGGAAGACAUUGCUUACACUUUUAACCAAAGAUACCCGAACACUUCUGCUAUUAAUUUAGCUCAGACAGUAUUUUCUGAUGGCAUAAAGUACACAAAGGGCAUGAUUAUUGUGCAUGGAACAAUUAGUGGGCUGCCUGAUUUUGCAGAAAUAGUGCAGAUUUGUGUUUUGAAAGAUGGAAUUGCUUUUAUAGCAAAACAGUUAGGUUCUUGGUACAAUGAGCACUAUCGAUCCUUUGAAUUGGAUAUUCAUCCAAGGAAUGUUUCAUUUAUAGAGCUGAAUGAAUUAGCAGACCGUUAUCCUCUCUGUGAUUAUAAAGUUGGUGCUAUCCGUAUGGUUACCUUGAAAAGAUACAUACACGCUGCUUGACCAGUUUUCUUUUUCUCUUACAGAGUGAUUGAUCAAACAGAGAAAAUGACUGAUCCAGCAAAGUUGAAAAUUGUUCUAGGAGACAGUGAUUCAUUUAAAUUGACGCUGCCAUCUGGAAUACCCAAUUCUAUUGCAGAUUUUAAAUCUGAGAUCAGGAAACAAUGUGGUGUCACAGGAGAUUUUAGACUGCAGUAUCUUGAUAUGGACUUUGAUGAUUUCUUAAAUCUUACCUCAACAGUGGAUCUCCAGGACAAAGGAACAGUUAAAGUCAUAGCACAAAGUGCAUAUGAUGCCUGUUCUCUUUCUUCUGCUGACACUGAUAUACGCUCCUCAACUUCCUCAUCACCAUCUUGCCUGCCAGUUUCUCCAGCAACAUCAGAUGUUGCUUCUGCCUCAACUUCUGAGCUGUCUUCGUCCACAAAGCUGAGAUGUGAAACCUGGCCAACUAACUUUCCGAUCCCUACGUUUCCUUAUGAGAUAGAGCUGGAACUGCAGAAAGCCCACGAAGAGUUCUUGAAUGACGGUACUUUACUUGACAUAGACUCAAAACCCAAACUAAAAUCAGAAAUUAUGAAAUCCUUGGCUGCAGAAGUAGUGAAAUACAAAGUGUACCCUAGGACUGAAGAAUACGAAGAGGUUGCGAAGGCGCUGAUUACAAAGCAUCCAUGUCUACAGGAAAAAGGAUCAGUUGGUGGGUUCUAUGGCUGGAAGAUCAGUCUACAGUGGAAGAUGGCAAACUAUCGGCGUACACUGCGAGCAGCUGGCUGUUCUGAAGUAAAGAUAAAUUCUUUAAAACACAAACAUGGUGAAACUACAAAUCCAAACCAAGUCAAAAAGCCAAAGAAGGCUGAAGUAAAUUUUUACCCUGAUUAUCCAGCUGGAGAGAACACACAAAGCCUAGAAGAAGAGCGACUGGCAUUGCUGUCUGAGUUUCAGAAAAGGGACAACCAUCAAAUUAUUAAAAACAAAAUGGAAAAAACUUUUAUCUACAGAAGACAUGAAUUGAUUGUAGAGAUGCCCUUCAUUGUUGACUUCAAAAGCAGAUGGCCAGCUCUGUUUUGUGAAAAUGAGAUUGCUGCGGAAUUCAGUCGAAUCACUACUGUCCCGCUACUUCAGACAUUUAUGUCAAAACUGGAUGGUUACACCAGCAAGCUGGCCAGCAUCUACCGUAAAAAAGGAGGAAUUGCAGGGCGUAAAAUUUGGAAACUGAUGGCUACUAUCGACGAGAAUGACACCAUCUCAACUCGGAGGGCUUGUAUUCUCAGAGCACUUUCUGUCUACCUUAAUGAAGACUAUGAAAACCUCAUGAAGGAGUAUACAGACACAGACUUUGAAAACUCAGAGAGAGACAUGGCCAAUACUGUCAUUGGAAUCUACAUCGUCAGACCUGAAGGUGCAGAAGCCUGUGACCCACCAUCAGAUGUUGGACUGAUUGUUGAGGGAGUGAAAGUACUUCAGAACCUUGGCGAUGUCACCAAGGCUUGUGCUCUUCUUUUGGGAGUCAUAUACAGCUUGAAUCUCAGUUAUCCUUCAGAAUUGAAAUACACUUUUGAGUUUUUCCAGAAAGUCUUGCUGGGACUUGAUGCACAUAAACUGUCACACAAAAUACAAGUUCUCAAGAACAAACUUGUUGGCUGAAUCAGUACAUCAGUCUGGACAAAUGAAAGAAAUGGAGGAAGAAGAUUUUUUUUGUGUUAUUUGAUUUGUUUCUGCUUUUAAAAUAAGGGGACAGUUUUAAUGUUAUCUUUGUUGAUGGCGCCAAAAUUUUAAAUGAAGUUCUGCAACUUUAAAUGGUUUAAUUGUUUGGUUAUUUACAAAGAUUAGAGGUCAGUUUUAAUCUUCUCUACCAAUGGUUUAAACGAUUUCAGUUAUCAAAAAUUGAGCACUGUAGCAGUUUAUGACAUGCUGCCUGUCUUAAACUUUUAUUUUCUUUUUCUAAGUAAAAUUUAUUACACUUUGAAGGCAGUUGCACAUUUUAAAAUAACAUUUUGGUCAAUGGUAAUCUAGUUAGUAAAGUAGUAGUCAUUGUUUUUUUUUUGUUUUGUUUUUUGUCAUUUUGAAACAAACUUAUUUUUGUGGUGGUUUUCAUAAAUAGAGGCCAGUUGUACUCUUUAUCAAUAGCUUAAACAUUUUAAAAUAUAAGCAAUUGAGCACUGUAGCAUUUCGUGAUAGGCUACCUGUUUAAAUUAUUAUUACAAAUUUUCUUUUGUAAAUUUGAUCCUAUACAUUUUUCUUACAAUAUUUGAAGGAAGUAGCACAUUAUAAGAAUGAUCACCAUUGACCAAAAUGUUGUUUUUACAUGUUUUUUCUUUAAACUGUUAUUUGAACUGUUUGUGGAUGUUUACAAAAAUUAAAACAGUUUUAAUGUUACUAUUGAUUGUAAAGAUCAAAAAUGGAGUUUAGCAGUAUUUUAACGUUCCUUUGAUUUAAUUUUUCUAAGUAAGAUUAUUUCAAAUUCAUGAAGCUAGUUGCACUUUAAAAGACCUUGUAAAGAAUGUUUACUGUUAAGAAUGUAAAAUAUUUGAUGUUUUUGUGUAUUUGUUUCAAAGGACCUGUGAAAUUGAAAUUGUUUAUGGGUUUUAGCAGUUGUAUGUUGCAAAAUCUUGAAAUAAUAAAUAAAUUCAUUUUGUU
rnacentral:lncRNA from 1 species